UGCGUAGACGGCCUGAUAAGUCGACUGUGAAAGUCCUGGGCUCAACCUGGGGACUGCAUUUGAUACUGUGAGGCUUUGAGUUUGGGAGAGGGUGGUGGAAUUCCCGGUGUAGCGGUGAAAUGCGUAGAGAUCGGGAGGAACAUCCGUGGCGAAGGCGGCCACCUGGCCUGAAACUGACGUUGAGGCACGAAAGCGUGGGGAGCAAACAGGAUUAGAUACCCUUGUA
rnacentral:rRNA from 1 species